rnacentral:lncRNA from 1 species
UCAUGGAGGACAGUGAUCAAUCUAUUCGAGAUCGAUGCAAGGAUCACCUUCUUUUUGGGUAGAUAAGUCUCAAGUUUGCGAUAUAGUACACUGGGGUGAGAAUGCUGGUGGUUGUUAGAGAACAACUUGUACUAAAUGUGACCAACACGAAAAAUCACUUGGAUAUGUACUCACUUGUCAGUGAUUUUCUUGAUGCUGUAGUGGUAUGAUUGAUCUUUUGACUUGUGGUAUAUUAGCUAUUUGCAGCGAGGCUACUUAGUUUGACUGUAUGUUUUCUUGGUCCAUAGACAUUCAGAUUCUUGCUACGUAUGUUGGCUAUUACAGGUUCAGAUUCACUGUUUGGAGUAGGAUGCACCUAGAUGGAAUCUGUCAUCUUUGGUAGAAAAAAGGAAGUCCUAUGCGAUUCGUAAGACUGAGUUCAAAAAAUCUCUGACCAUAGUAAGUGUGAAUACUAGAAAAGAGUUUCCACAAGAUUCACAGAUGAACUCAAGUCAAGCCAAUCUAGUAUAUAACUGACGAUGGGGUUUGACGAGUUUUCCAUAACCUUCGUCAAUUCGAGACUCACGAUAGAGGGAUUAUAUCACACGAUAAUUGCACCUAGAGGUUCAUAUCUUUUUGUUCUACUGAAUUAUCACUAUAAAUUGCUAGAUCAAUG